UAUACUCUUGAGGUAAAUGUAGCGUGCA
rnacentral:piRNA from 1 species